rnacentral:snRNA from 1 species
CAGUGUUACAAUUCUUUUAGAAUUUGUCUAGCAGGUUUUCUGGUCUUUACCAGAAGAUUCCA